GCGGAAGUGGUGGAAUGGCAGACGCGCAGGCUUCAGGUGCCUGUGGUAGCAAUACCGUGUGGGUUCAAGUCCCAUCUUCCGCA
rnacentral:tRNA from 1 species